rnacentral:rRNA from 1 species
CAACUUUCAACAACGGAUCUCUUGGUUCUCGCAUCGAUGA